GAUGAACGCUGGCGGCGUGCCUAAUACAUGCAAGUCGAGCGAACAUACGAGGAGCUUUCUCCUCUGACGUUAGCGGCGGACGGGGGAGUAACACGUGGAUAACCGACUGAUAAAACUGGGAUAAAGUCGGGAAAACGGAGCUAAUACGGGAUAAUAUAUUGAACCGCAUGGUUCAAUAGUGAAAGAGAAUUUUGCUAGCACUAAUACAGGAAGACGGGCUGGAGUAGAAAGUUGGAAAGGUAACGGCUUACCAAGGCAACGAUGCGUAGCCGACCUGAGAGGGUGAUCGGCCACCCUGGUACUGAGACACGGUCCAGACUCCGACGGGAGGCAGCAGUAGGGAAUCUUCCGCAAUGGGCGAAAGCCUGACGGAGACACGCCGCGUGAGUGAUGAAGGUCUUCGGAUCGUAAAACUCUGUUAUUAGCGAAGAACAAACGUGUGAGUAACUAUGAACGUAUUGACGGUACCUAAUCAGAAAGCCACGGCUAACUACGUG
rnacentral:rRNA from 1 species